CACUGCCAGAAACAACACAAACUGAGGUGAUUCCAUUGCUAAAUGAGGCCUACUCAGAAGCCUCUUCUCCAUCUUUACAACAUCCCUGGGACACAGCUACAGCAGCUGAGGUGGAGGGCUGAAAGGAUGAGGAAAAUAAUGAUGGGAAUAAGCAGAUGCAGAGAAACAGAUCUUGUCUCAUCGCUGAAACUCUUCAAUGGGCUCGGGAGAGGUGAAGUUUGAAUCAUGCGUCCUCUGAAACAUGACGCGCCAAGCUGCGCUUAUUAACACCCGCUUGCUUAACGCGGAAGCCAGCUGUACCAAUGUGUCAGAGGAAACACAAUUCAACUGAGGACUGAAGUAGCCUGCAGGCGCCCGGCCCAACACAAGGAGUCGC